rnacentral:rRNA from 1 species
GACGUAGGGCGCGAGCGUUGUCCGGAUUUAUUGGGCGUAAAGAGCUCGUAGGCGGCUUGUCGCGUCGUCCGUGAAAACUUGGGGCUCAACCCCAAGCUUGCGGUCGAUACGGGCAGGCUCGAGUUCGGUAGGGGAGACUGGAAUUCCUGGUGUAGCGGUGAAAUGCGCAGAUAUCAGGAGGAACACCGGUGGCGAAGGCGGGUCUCUGGGCCGUAACUGACGCUGAGGAGCGAAAGCGUGGGGAGCGAACAGG